rnacentral:rRNA from 1 species
AAGACUAACUACUGCGAAAGCAUUUGCCAAGGAUGUUUUCAUUAAUCAGUGAACGAAAGUUAGGGGAUCGAAGACGAUCAGAUACCGUCGUAGUCUUAACCAUAAACUAUGCCGACUAGGGAUCGGGCGAUGUUAUCUUUUUGACUCGCUCGGCACCUUACGAGAAAUCAAAGUUUUUGGGUUCUGGGGGGAGUAUGGUCGCAAGGCUGAAACUUAAAGGAAUUGACGGAAGGGCACCACCAGGAGUGGAGCCUGCGGCUUAAUUUGACUCAACACGGGGAAAC